AUUUGAUUUAACUUGAUUUAUGUUUAGAUACGAGCAGCGCAACACGGGUGUGAUCAGGUUCGUGGUGAUCAUGGUGAUGGUCGUGAUCGCUGUCCUGGUGGUGUAUCUCGGAUACAUGUGGGCAGAGCCUAGGUGGAAACUAAAGAAACAGACAACUUAUCAUGCGCAAUUAGAGGAAACGGACGUCCCCCUCACGCGUUCUCAUAAAAGGAUGUCUCUGAAGGACUAUGACGGUGGUAUACUACAGGAGAACGGAGAUCAUGGAUUACUGCCGGAUGUGACAGCGAUCACCUCCCGAACCCGACACCCUGGCCGAGCGAUCCUGCAUCGGGUCGGAGAUCGCCAGGAUCGGUGGAAGCAACAGGUUGAAGUUCAGAGGAAGAAAAUUUACCAGGAUCAUUCAAUUCUAAACUAGAACCUUCUACACAACACGAUUCUAGUUGACAAGGGGAGGAGACACGAGUCACUUAAUUCGAUUCAAAUUAAAUCAAGUCGAUCCACGUCGAUCCAAGUCGAUCCAAGUCGAUUCAAGUCGAUUCAAGUCAAUUCAAGUCGAUUUUCAAGUCGAUUUUCAAGUCGAUUCAAGUCGAUUCAAGUAGGUUUUCAAGUCGAUUUAAGUUGAGACGAAUUGAGACAUGUCGAUAAUUAAGUCGAUUCAAAUUCAAGUCGAUUUAAGUUGGAUUUUCAAGUCGAUCCAUUUCGUGACAUGUUGAUUGUGAAUUCAUGUCAAUUUUAGUCGAUUCAAGUAGAUUUAAGCCGGUAACUGUGUUGACUUAAAUCAGCAGAAGUCGAUUCAAGCUGAUGCAUGUCAAUUCAAGUCGACGUAAAUCUACUUGCAGUCAAAAUCUUUUAAUCUUCCUUCCCGUAUUUCUUCCAACUUUAAAAGUAUAUAUUCAAGGCCUGUUCAUUUAGGUCCCUUUCUAUCUACCUCCUCUUUUAUAUUUUAUAUGUAGAGGAGAAUAUACACCCCUGUUUUUGUGUUUAUCAUUUCCUUUCAACCAGUCUUUGUAUUCAUAUUAUUUAAUGUAUCCUUGUCUACUCUGCAUCAAAAUAUUGGUGAAAACAUUAAUACGCAAUAUGUAGCUAGUUCUGAAAACUUGGGAAGAUUUUGAUAAAUGUCGUCGUUUCACCCAUCUAGUCAACCAGUAGUUCUAAUAGUGUUAGUGGGUUUUCGAUUGAGCUAUUUACAUUUUAAUUUUAUUUUAUACAUUUUAUUGAAAAAUCCCUCUCCAUCUUCUUGAUUAUACUUUCUAUAGUUUAUUACAGGCAAAAACAUCGGUUUUUAACGUUAAAUUAUGAUAUGAAUGAUUUUUAUGGGAAAAACGAGUAACUGUCAGUGAAUGUUCAAUAUUUUUCCUAAUUCUCAGAAAAAUUAUUUCUCCAGACGUUAUCUUGAAUUGUUUUAAAUGUCAAAGUUACCAAAGUCUCUUCGCCUACCAAUAUUUUUACCUUUCUUUAUUAUUUUGAGUUUGUUUGAAGAAUAAGUUAGUGCAGAGAAGUGUGACUGUUAACGACGACUUUCAAGCAUUGUUUCAGUAUUUCAGUGUUCUGAACACCCUGUAUCCAAUUAUAAUUUUAAAUAUUUUGAUCAUUUGUAAUUUUAUCAAUCCUAGUUGUGACGAUAAUAUAUAUUCUAUUUUAUGGUUUGUAUAAUGGUUACAAGGUUCUGUAAACAAUAAUAAUUUAUAAUUUUUGUGUAUUUCAAUUUAUUACUUGUGUUUUUACUUAUAUUCUUCUUCGCACAAAAUAAAGAAAUUAUUCUA